ensembl:lncRNA
AUGGUCUAUAGUAGACACUAUAGGGCACGUCGAAAUUGUUCAAGCAGGAAUAAUUCUCGUGAUAAUUUUUUCUGUUUCUUUUUUUCUUUUCAAGGUAUCUAUUGGGUGGAGGAGCAUUAUGUAUGGAACUUCUCAGAAAACAGGGCUGCUGCAGUGCCUACUCAAUAGAACCGGUCAUCGUGCAAAGAAAUGCCACCUGACUCAAAGGCAAAGCCAGAGUGCAGCUUGGAGCAAAGAAGGUACUUUUGUUAAGAAUUUUACGUAAACCAUAAGAGAUAUUUUCUAUUACUUUGUGAGCCUUCUUCCUGUCUUGACUUAAUUCUUUUUGAGAGAAUUCAAUUCAUUUUCAUUUGGUUUGUUUUCUUCUUGUUAUAAAGAUGAUCUAUAGAAAAUAUAGAAGUAUAAGAAAAUUAAAGAUACUAACUGAUAAUCGCUUAAUGAUUUAGUAUCAGCUUGUUUAGUCUUUGUUAUAUUUACUGUAGGCAAACAUGGCUACAGUUGUCAAUUUAUUAUUGAUAUGUAUACCCUAGUAAGGUAAAAGUUUUAUGUACUUUGAAGUUUUGCAAAAUUGAGUUCAUGUUAUAGAAUUAAUUCCCAAUGAACUUUUCUGUGCUAGGCACUAGUCUUUUUAUUUAUUUCUUUAUUUCUUUAUUGAUUUAUUUUUCCUUUUUUUGCCCUCUGGACCUAUACUUACCAAGCCUUUUUAUUUGUUACUUUUUGUUAACUCUUUCGAUCCUCUUAAGAACUUAAAAAGAGGGUAUUACUAAUAUCUGCAUCUUGUAGAUGAGGUAACUGAAGGUAACCGAAGGUAACUUGUCCAAGGUCACAGGUGGCAGAGCAAGGAUUAAAACCAGACAGUCUGGCAGCCCAAGGCCCAAUCAAGAGGAGCUGAGAGUAAGCCAUGGGGCAGAAGGAUGUUGGUGAGGCUGCUUUCCUCUUUAGUUAACAUGAAACACAGGCUGUAACUUUAAUUCUAGGACAUUGCCAAGAAAGUCUUCCAAAGCCAUAGCUUGUUUGCCAUGACCAUGACUUUUAGCAAGAAUUUGUGGCUUAAAGACAACAUGGUGCUCUGAGAAGCUUCUGUUCACUCUCAGGGAGGGACUGGUAGUCGAGCUAAAUAGUGAAAUCCUGGAGCACACAGCCUUUAGGGCAGCUUCUGACCUAUUUCUGUGGUCAGGAAAGAUACCUGUCUUUCCCUGCUGCCCAGAACCUCCAGUUACUCACCUUCAGAGUUUCCUCUUCUGUGAUCACAUUCAGAUGAGAGAUCUGUUUUGUUUUUCUCCGGGUAGGAGGAAGUGAGUCACCACCUACACUGAGCAGUCUAGUCUUCUGUGUAUAAAUGAACAAGGUUGGGCAGCCAAAUUUGAGAACCUUGUAUAAUCCUGAUAUUCUCCAAGAGAAUCCAACAGGAUGUCAGGAUUAUGCACGGUGGUAAAGUGGUCUCCUGUUAGUUGUGUCCACAGCUCUCAUCAGAAGCAGACACAGAUACAUUUGUAGGAAAGCAUCUCUAACGUAAGCCUGUAGGAUUCCCAGAGAUUAAAAGCAGGUAACAAUGAAUUCAGUGACAUCAUAGCAUUCAAGUAGUCAACCCAACAUAUUUCAGAAUUGUCAGAAACAAUGAAUCAUAUGUUUCCCAAAGACUGCAGGUUUUGGAAUUAUCAGAUGCAAAACACGGACUUCAAAUAUUAGAAUUGGGAGAAAAUAGUUACAUGUGAAAUAAACCUAAUAUAUAAAAAAAGAUGGACUCA